rnacentral:rRNA from 1 species
GAUGAACGCUGGCGGCGUGCCUAAUACAUGCAAGUCGAGCGAACGGACGAGAAGCUUGCUUUUCUGAUGUUAGCGGCGGACGGGUGAGUAACACGUGGAUAACCUACCUAUAAGACUGGGAUAACUUCGGGAAACCGGAGCUAAUACCGGAUAAUAUUUUGAACCGCAUGGUUCAAAAGUGAAAGACGGUCUUGCUGUCACUUAUAGAUGGAUCCGCGCUGCAUUAGUUAGUUGGUAAGGUAACGGCUUACCAAGGCAACGAUGCAUAGCCGACCUGAGAGGGUGAUCGGCCACCCUGGAACUGAGACACGGUCCAGACUCCUACGGGAGGCAGCAGUAGGGAAUCUUCCGCAAUGGGCGAAAGCCGGACGGAGCAACGCGGCGUGAGUGAUGAAGGUCUUCGGAUCGUAAAACUCUGUUAUUAGGGAAGAACAUAUGUGUAAGUAACUGUGCACAUCUUGACGGUACCUAAUCAGAAAGCCACGGCUAACUACGUG